AUCCACCCAAGACCCGGUUCCUCGAUUCCCAUCGUUACGACCGAGGAGAAAAGAGAGUAAAUUUUCCUAUUAUAGCCUUCUCUCGCACCUUCCCCGCUUCCCACCAGCCGUCUCCACUGUCCUCACCGUCCCCAUCCUCAUCCAUGGCGAAAUCUUCGCCCCCAGCCUCGUGAAGAUCUAGCACGUCCGCCAUCUCGCCUUCGAUCGAGAUCUCGUCUGUGCCGCUCAGACACUAGGUACCUCGGGAAACUGUCGCAGAGGGGAAAGGUCGCCAGUCAAGCUGACCAAUCAAAGGUUAACUCUAAAUCCCUCCCUCUGCACGGUAAAAACACGCAAAUUGGGGCGGGCCUAGUGAGGAAAGAUACCGGAAGUGUUUCUGUGGCCAUCUUGAGCAGGUCGCAAGCUAAAUCCUGCCAUCUUAGGAGGUACAGACUACAGGGGGCCGUGGCUUCCUCUUAACCGCGGCAGCUGCUGAUAAACACUGUACUAUUAACAGUGAGGCCCGGCGUAAUUUCCUUAUUAGAGGGCUUCUUUACGUCUCUUCAUCCCAAACUGGGAAAUGCUUGCUGGCCUGCUCUAUAGUGCUGUUGCUUAAAAAGUCAUCUGUGAAGAAAACCAGAGGGAGAAAUUUCACCUGCCAAAGUGGAUAAAGAGUUCAGAUCUGCCAAGAAGACACCAAGAUGGGAUAGACAAUUGCAAGAGAUUUAUCAGGGAGGAAGUAGGAGACGACAGGGAGAGCCUUCUGAGCACAGCAAAGAUCUCAUGCCUGUGGAAGAGAGGGAAAGAAGGAGGUCUAGAUAU
rnacentral:antisense_RNA from 1 species